UGGGGAAUAUUGGACAAUGGGCGAAAGCCUGAUCCAGCCAUGCCGCGUGUGUGAAGAAGGCCUUCGGGUUGUAAAGCACUUUCAGCGAGGAAGAAGGCCUGACGGCCAAUACCCGUCAGGAGCGACAUCACUCGCAGAAGAAGCACCGGCUAACUCCGUGCCAGCAGCCGCGGUAAUACGGAGGGUGCGAGCGUUAAUCGGAAUUACUGGGCGUAAAGCGCGCGUAGGUGGCGUGAUAAGCCGGUUGUGAAAGCCCCGGGCUCAACCUGGGAACGGCAUCCGGAACUGUCAGGCUAGAGUGCAGGAGAGGAAGGUAGAAUUCCCGGUGUAGCGGUGAAAUGCGUAGAGAUCGGGAGGAAUACCAGUGGCGAAGGCGGCCUUCUGGACUGACACUGACACUGAGGUGCGAAAGCGUGGGUAGCAAACAGGAUUAGAUACCCCCGUAGUCC
rnacentral:rRNA from 1 species